GAUGAACGCUAGCGGCAGGCCUAACACAUGCAAGUCGAGGGGUAGAGGAAGCUUGCUUCCUUGAGACCGGCGCACGGGUGCGUAACGCGUAUGCAAUCUGCCUUGUACUGAGGGAUAGCCCAGAGAAAUUUGGAUUAAUACCUCAUAGCAUUAUGAAAUCGCAUGGUUUUAUAAUUAAAGUUCUAACGGUACAAGAUGAGCAUGCGUCCCAUUAGUUAGUUGGUAAGGUAACGGCUUACCAAGACGAUGAUGGGUAGGGGUCCUGAGAGGGAGAUCCCCCACACUGGUACUGAGACACGGACCAGACUCCUACGGGAGGCAGCAGUGAGGAAUAUUGGUCAAUGGACGCAAGUCUGAACCAGCCAUGCCGCGUGCAGGAUGAAGCAUCUAUGGUGUGUAAACUGCUUUUGUACGGGAAGAAACACUCCUACGUGUAGGAGCUUGACGGUACCGUAAGAAUAAGGAUCGGCUAACUCCGUGCCAGCCGCCGCGGUAACAC
rnacentral:rRNA from 1 species